rnacentral:rRNA from 1 species
AUUGAACGCUGGCGGCAAGCCUAACACAUGCAAGUCGAACGAGUGGCGGACGGGUGAGUAAUGUCUGGGAAACUGCCUGAUGGAGGGGGAUAACUACUGGAAACGGUAGCUAAUACCGCAUACCAUCGGAUGUGCCCAGAUGGGAUUAGCUAGUAGGUGGGGUAAAGGCUCACCUAGGCGACGAUCCCUAGCUGGUCUGAGAGGAUGACCAGCCAAAUUGGAACUGAGAACCGGUCCAGACUCCUACGGGAGGCAGCAGGGGGGAAUAUUGCACAAGGGGCGCAAGCCGGAUGCAGCCAUGCCGCGGGUAUGAAGAAGGCCUUCGGUUUGUAAAGUACUUUCAGCGGGGAGGCGUUACCAACAGAAUAAGCACCGGCUAACUUCGUGCCAGCAGCCGCGGUAAUUC